UACGAAGGGGGCUAGCGUUGUUCGGAAUUACUGGGCGUAAAGCGCACGUAGGCGGAUCGAUCAGUCAGGGGUGAAAUCCCAGGGCUCAACCCUGGAACUGCCUUUGAUACUGUCGAUCUGGAGUAUGGAAGAGGUGAGUGGAAUUCCGAGUGUAGAGGUGAAAUUCGUAGAUAUUCGGGAGGAACACCAGUGGCGAAGGCGGCUCACUGGUCCAUUACUGACGCUGAGGUGCGAAAGCGUGGGGAGCAAACAGG
rnacentral:rRNA from 1 species